rnacentral:rRNA from 1 species
AUUGAACGCUGGCGGCAUGCCUUACACAUGCAAGUCGAACGGCAGCACGGGUGCUUGCACCUGGUGGCGAGUGGCGAACGGGUGAGUAAUACAUCGGAACAUGUCCUGUAGUGGGGGAUAGCCCGGCGAAAGCCGGAUUAAUACCGCAUACGAUCUACGGAUGAAAGCGGGGGACCUUCGGGCCUCGCGCUAUAGGGUUGGCCGAUGGCUGAUUAGCUAGUUGGUGGGGUAAAGGCCUACCAAGGCGACGAUCAGUAGCUGGUCUGAGAGGACGACCAGCCAAAAUGGGACUGAGACACGGCCCAGACUCCUACGGGAGGCAGGAGUGGGGAAUUUUGGACAAUGGGCGGAAGCCUGAUCCAACAAUGCCGCGUGUGUGAAGAAGGCCUUCGGGUUGCAAAGCACUUUUGUCCGGGAAGGAAACCUUUGCCCUAAUACCGGCGGGGGAUGACGGUACCGGAAGAAUAAGCACCGGCUAACUACGUG